GGCAGGAGACAGGAAGGAGGAAACCUGAGGAGCAGCAGCAACAGAUGGUGAUGAAAGCCAGUACAGAGAACUAUUGGGAAGAGCAAAACGUUGAUGGUCUCCUUUCAUGUAUGUGUCUGCUAAUCAAGCAGUUCUGUUUAUUAAAGCAAAGCAAGAGGAGUGAGAUAAAUAACCACCUGAAAAACAGUGCAUAUGAAAGAGAAAGAACGACUUGAUGCCCUUCUGCAAAACAAUCCCCAUGUGAUCCUAGAAGAUUUAACUUUGAGCUAUUUCUGCCAUGUGUGGGCAGACUCUGGCACUAUUUUACAACCUUUCCAGCAGCGGUCUGGUGAAGUAUUACAUAUCUUGCUUUAAUCUGUGCAGAUGAACAUUAGCUGCUGCUGUGUUAUAAAAUGGGAAGAGCACAUAGAAAUCUUCCUGUUUUG